CGAUGAUGGUGAUAAUGAUGAUGAUGAUGGUAAUGGUGUUGGUGAUAGUGAUUGUGAGGGUAAAUGUGACGGUAACUUCAUCAUCAUCAUCAUCGCCAUCGCCAUCAUUAACUUGU
rnacentral:pre_miRNA from 14 species